rnacentral:rRNA from 1 species
UACGUAGGGUGCAGGCGUUAAUCGGAAUUACUGGGCGUAAAGCGCACGUAGGCGGAUUGUUAAGUCAGACGUGAAAUCCCGGAGCUCAACUUCGGAACUGCCUUUGAUACUGGCAAUCUAGAGUCCGGAAGAGGUUAGUGGAAUUCCCAGUGUAGAGGUGAAAUUCGUAGAUAUUGGGAAGAACACCAGUGGCGAAGGCGGCUAACUGGUCCGGUACUGACGCUGAGGUGCGAAAGCGUGGGGAGCAAACAGG